CUUCCUCAUUGCUUUUCACAUUCUCUGCCAGGUAUCUAUCUCUGCAAUUUCAACGUUCAACACUUGUUUGAUUCAAUUUCAACGUUCAACACUUGUUUGAUUCAAUUUCAAAGGCCUCGGUGUCAAUCUUGUUUUCAGAGAUCUAUACGAUCACCAAAGUUUGGUGAGUGCGAUAAAGCAGGUCGAUGUGGUAAUUUCUACUGUAGGACACCUGCAGCUAGCUGAUCAAGAUAAGAUCAUUUCUGCAAUUAAAGAAGCAGGAAA